rnacentral:rRNA from 1 species
ACAACUUUCAGCAACGGAUCUCUUGGCUCUCGCAUCGAUGAAGAACGCAGCGAAAUGCGAUWAGUAAUGUGAAUUGCAGAAUUCAGUGAAUCAUCGAAUCUUUGAACGCACCUUGCGCUCCUUGGUAUUCCGAGGAGCAUGCCUGUUUGAGUGUCAUUA